rnacentral:rRNA from 1 species
UCGCCUGUUUAUCAAAAACAUGUCCUCAUGAAAAUAAUUUGAGGUCUGACCUGCCCACUGAAUUAUAGUAAUUUGAAGGGCCGCGGUAUUUUGACCGUGCAAAGGUAGCAUAAUCAUUAGUCUUUUAAUUGGAGGCUGGAAUGAAUGGUUGGACGAGGCAUUGACUGUCUCAGUGUAAAUGUUAUUAGAAUUUAACUUUUAGGUCAAAAGGCUUAAAUGUAUUUAAAGGACGAGAAGACCCUAUAGAGCUUUAUGUUGAACAAUUAUUUUUAAUUUAGAUGGUUUUUAGUAAUAGUUGGUUAAACAUUUUGUUGGGGUGACAGGAAGAUAAAGUAAACUCUUUUUAAUUUUUAACAUUAAUUUAUGAUUAGUUGAUCCAUUAUUAGUGAUUAUAAGACUAAGUUACCUUAGGGAUAACAGCGUAAUCUUUUUUGAGAGUUCAUAUCGACAAAAGGGGUUGCGACCUCGAUGUUGGAUUAAGGGUAAUUUUGGGUGUAGAUGUUCAAAGUUUAGGUCUGUUCGACCUUUAGAUCCUUACAUGAUCUGAGUUCAAACCGGAGA